rnacentral:lncRNA from 1 species
GCUAGCAGGGAUUCUCCGGACGAAACGCCCUAACUCUUGCAGCAGCCGCAGCAUCACUCUUCCCAUUUACGGAGCCCCGCUCCGUAGGCCGACCACGAACCCUUGGGAAAGCAGUGUUGUCCAGGUGUUGGCACUUUUUGGAGAAGCACCACUCGUCCUCGUACGUACUGACCACGUACAUUUCGCUGGGGUGUGCCGAGACAACAGUGUGCCAGCCAUUAAUCGGAAUCUAACGGCCACAGCGUCGUACCUGUCCAUAGGAAUGGUCAGAAGUGAAUUCCGGUUACAAAAAUGGAAGAAACAAUUCACGGGUGCACCCCAGCCAAAUGUACCAAAAUUUUCUUCCUCAUGAGCAAGCAGUUGCACUAAGUUCACAGGAAAGUAGCAACUCAAAGGGUGUUUUGAAAUUUAGCUGGCUGUAUUAAGAGCAACCCCUUUUUCAGAACUGUCGUGUUUCACAAUUUACCGUAUGGACCCAUGUAAUAUUCACAUUUCUUAUAGAAUUUUCUAAUUUAAAAAUUUUUGUGAUUCCAAGUUUGGCUAUUACAGGGAGGGGUAUUCAUAAAUUAUUCUUGUGUUGUAAUGAUUUCAUCACGAAAGCUAACCUGCUUAAUUCAAAAACGAAACUACUGCAUGGACUUGUAAGAGUGAGAUAUAUAACAGUGCAAAAAAAAAAGCUUGCUGGCAUAUAACAGUGGUUACUGCUUCAUCUCAGCAACGCUAGUUCUGUUACCUUAUUCGUGAGAUAGCUCGCUUGAUAUCUGGAACUCGAGUGUGUUCUGUAUGUGGGUAAAAUCUAAGAAUAUCUGUGGUGAACUUUUUUUUUUCAGCAUUUGAAAAGUGUCAAUUGCGCUUUGCUGGCAAUUUGCCAUUACAACUGCAAGUUUUUUUUGUACUUGUGGGUUUUAGGGACGUAAGAGGACACUGCUUAAAGAGGCAACCACAUGCACGCGAUAUUCAUACAGCACUGAUAAGUGACGCACCGAGCGGACCCUGUCACUUUGUUGCAUUGGGGUGCGAGCUAACCACACGAACACGACAUUGUGAAAAGAGGUAACAACAAGCUUUCAUGUUAUCAAUUGCAUGCUUGUAAAAAAAUUGCAAACAGGCCGCAAAGCUAUCAUUUUAACCACAGUACCAGAUGUGGUUUUAAUUUGGCGUCAUCACCAGUGAAAAAGCACUCCACACAUAUCGGCAAUGUUAAAUGCUGCGGCACCAUCUGGUUGGUAGAGAUAUAAACGCUUUCGAAGCUUUUGGUAGCGCAUUAGGCCUAACAGCAUCAAAACAAACGGCUCAUCAUAACACUAACAACAAAACAUCUGAAAUACUUUGCCCUCAGCAUGGCAUAAAACUAAGUGAAGGCUAAUUUCACCAGUUAUUUCUUGUGUUAAGAUCAAGUAGCAAGAGUAAAUUCGGAUUGAAGAGGGUGGCCUGUGUGUUGCCAUGUUGUUGCGCAAUCAUGGUCACCAAUGGAAGCCACUGCCCAAAAUUCCAAUGACGAAGAAAU